CGUAAUUUGUUAUUUAUACAGUAUAAAAUGAUCAAAUCAUUCUACUUCUUACAUGCAUAUCUAGAAAAAUAUGGCUAAAACUUUAAAGUUUGUGUAUGCUAUGAUUUUAUUUAUUUAUAUUUUUCUUGUCAUAAAGAACACCGAAGCAUAUCCUCCUUGUGAAACAGUUGCUGAUUGUCCAGAAAGUUACUUUCGAAUUUAUAGGUGUGAGAAUAACUUUUGCAGGUAUAGAGAAGCGGUACGACGGUUAAGGCCCCCAUUACGUAAGAAAUGACAAAACAAAAUGGAUAAUUGAGUGCAGGAAAGAAGGAGUUCUUACAUUAGUUAUUAUGUUGGCACUCAAUAAUUUUAGGUUUUAUUUAGAUUUCUUUGUGUAAUUGGUGUCUCUUAAAAUACUAUGAGUAUUUUAAGGUGGAAUAAUUUAGUGCAAGUAUGCACUAUCCAAGUUAUAUUAUAAAAAGAUAACGAUUCCACAUGGACUAGGAGCUAUAGCUCUCUAUAGCUUUCUUGUAGAAAACUUGUUUGCAAGAGAAUAAAAUAAAUUAUUUGUCACAACAAUAGAAGUAAAAGUUAAAGGUUUGGUAAAACAGUUAAAAAGACUUAGUAAUUCUCAAAGUUAAAAGUGUGGUUUAAACAAAGAUUCAGUUAUGAAA